AGUCGAACGAAUCCCUUCGGGGAUGAGUGGCGGACGGGUGAGUAACGCGUGAGAAUCUACCAAAAGGACUGGGACAACCACUGGAAACGGUGGCUAAUACCGGAUGAGCCGCAACGUAAAAGAGGAAACUCGCCUUUUGAAGAGCUCGCGUCUGAUUAGCUAGUUGGUGAGGUAAAGGCUCACCAAGGCGGCGAUCAGUAGCUGGUCUGAGAGGAUGACCAGCCACACUGGGACUGAGACACGGCCCAGACUCCUACGGGAGGCAGCAGUGGGGAAUUUUCCGCAAUGGGCGAAAGCCUGACGGAGCAAGACCGCGUGAGGGAGGAAGGCUCUUGGGUUGUAAACCUCUUUUGUCAGGGAAGAACACAAUGACGGUACCUGAAGAAUCAGCAUCGGCUAACUCCGUGCCAGCAGCCGCGGUAAUACGGAGGAUGCAAGCGUUAUCCGGAAUUAUUGGGCGUAAAGCGUCCGCAGGUGGCACUUCAAGUCUGCUGUCAAAGACCGGGGCUUAACCCUGGAAAGGCAGUGGAAACUGAAGCGCUAGAGUGUGGCAGGGGUAGAGGGAAUUCCCGGUGUAGCGGUGAAAUGCGU
rnacentral:rRNA from 1 species